rnacentral:lncRNA from 1 species
GGGCACCGUCACCAAAGGGAACCCUCCCCCUGCAACUCCCAGGGGCAUGCUGGCCCCGGACCCUCCUCCCACAGAAGCUCCUUGGAAGCAAACUUGCUGACCUCAGCACAAUUUUUUUCCAAACACGCCCUUCCUCCGUCUCCCCAAAUCUCAGUGUCUUUGGAUCGUUUCCCUGCGGAGAGGCCAAGGCGGGCCCGGCGGCCCCUAGAAGGGGUUCCCUCCCGGAGCCUUGCUCUCAGCCCCCGCCCCUCCCCAGCCACCGUCCUGGCCUGCUCGGCUGGGACACUCGGCAGAGAAACCACAAAUAAUUUUGCUGUUUAGCAGAACAUCAGUCUGGGUUUCCACGGCAACAGCCUCUGGAGCCAGCUGCCCCGGCAGCUGACAGCGCAGGGCCAGGCCGGCUCGCAUCUCCCGUUGGAGCGGAGGAAAUGGAUCCACUCUUGUUUCUGAGAUUCCAGAAUCUCCAGGCUGGACGCCGGGGGCCUCCGUGACACAGAGGCCAGGCCAGGGGAUCUCGGAGACUCAGCGGCGGUCGGGCGAGGAGGCUGAGUGCCUGCCUGGGAGGGUGAAGUCAGAAGUCCCAGGGCGACCCACCGCCCCCAACCAUCGUGCAUCGGCCCGCUGCUGGGCACAGGCACGCACCCGGAGCGCCACCUGUCCCAUCCUGCCUCGGCCUCGCCACCUUACCAGGAGAUGCUCGGACGAUGUCAGCAACGGGAGACCGAUAACCAGAGACGGCCGUCCGGUGUGGGGCACCGGCCAGAGAGGAACCAGCUGGCACCAUGUGACUAAGGCUCCGGAGGGAAAGACACAGCUGAUGUCAGCUUCGCAACCCGGAAAAAUCCAUCAGCUGGCGACCUCGGCGGCCAGAUUCGUACUCUGCUCCGUCGCUGGAACGUUUAGCCAAACUCAGAAUCUCGAGAAGAAAGAAGGAGGCCGAGAAGAGACAGCAGAGAUAACCAGGAAGAGAGCCAGAAAACACCACGGCUCCUGUCCCGAGUGUGUUCAGCAGCCUGGGGACCACGGGGGACACAGAAGAGCGACAGGAGUGUCGCAUGGGGCCGAGCUUCAGGUGAUAAAAACGGCUGUCCUGACAGUAACACCAGCCCAGCCUCCGGGCCCAAUUCUGAAAUCUGAAAAGCUCUGAAUCCCAGAGUUGUCUCGUAACCUGCUUGGCACCCGGACCUGACGGGACGUGACAUUGCAGGCGGCAAAAUUCCCCAGGCCGUCAGAUUUUCCUCUCCUCCAGGCGGGUGUGCGCGUGUUUCGUGGACUCGAACGUGGGGUACCAGCCCAGACCCCACGGGGAGGGCUGCCUAAUGGAAGAAAUUUAAAAGAAGACUUUCUAAAAAUCCGGAAGUCUUGUCUUUUGGCGAAAAGGUGUUCUUUGGUUCUGCUGGGGGGGCCCCACUGUUAGUCCAGGGGGUCAGGAGCCCCCAGUGCUGGGUCUGGCCCUGCCUCCCUGUUGACGUGGUCUCAAGAGGCCGGAGGCGGACGUUUCAUGCAGUCGAACGGGAGAAGAAGCGGCUGGCCGUGCUCACCAGGUGAGGCUGCUGGGAGGUAAGGAGGAAGCCAUCCCCACAGAGGGGAUCCCGUGGCAUUUCUGGCUCAGAUAGCACUUGAUCAAGGAGGGGCUCACUAGCCCGUGGGAAGUGGGUCUGGAUGCAAGAGGCCCGGGUCCUAGUCCUGGUCGGCUCUGCCACCAGAGUGCUGUGUGACCCCGAGCAAGUGUCCGCCCCUCUCUGGACCUGUUUUUCUCUUUGUAAAGUGCAGGCCGAGGCCAGGCCCAGCAGGCCUUCCCGCUGGCUUGCACCACCUGGGACACACUGAGCCAGACGCUCGGCUUUUUGUCAGCGCCCCCCUCCCCGGACCCCUGGGUGGCAGGACGGGGCCCCAAGCACCCCCGUGUCUCUGCUCCCCAUUCUGUAAUUGAAGGGGUGGGCAGGCCUCGCCUUUCUCUUUCUCCGUGACAUGUGCCUGCGUUUCGGGGUGGAGCUCAGUGCUUUUCCGGAGUCUCCAUUCCCACGGGGGCGGGAGGCAGCCGGGGCGCACCCCGCGCCGCCCGCGGGCCAUCCGGGCGGCCCAGCCGGGCGCGGGCAGCAGGCAGCAGGCCGCGGGCCCCAGCUCCUCUCUGCUCGCCCGGCCCC